rnacentral:rRNA from 1 species
CGUAGGGUGCGAGCGUUAAUCGGAAUUACUGGGCGUAAAGCGUGUGCAGGCGGUUUUGUAAGACAGGCGUGAAAUCCCCGGGCUCAACCUGGGAACUGCGCUUGUGACUGCAAGGCUAGAGUACGGCAGAGGGGGGUGGAAUUCCACGUGUAGCAGUGAAAUGCGUAGAGAUGUGGAGGAACACCAAUGGCGAAGGCAGCCCCCUGGGUCGAUACUGACGCUCAUGCACGAAAGCGUGGGUAGCAAACAGGAUUAGAUACCCUGGUAGUCCACGCCCUAAACGAUGUCAACUAGGUGUUGGGUGGGUAAAACCAUUUAGUACCGGAGCUAACGCGUGAAGUUGACCGCCUGGGGAGUACGGCCGCAAGGUUA